AUGAGAAACAAGUGGGAGAAGGCAGGGGUCUCCCGUGACACUGCGGCUACAAAAAUGUCCUUCACAUGGACGAGCAUUUUUUCGGCGAGGGAGAACAAGAAAGAGGAGAGGUGCAAAUUCAUGUUGGGUGUGCAAAAGGAGAGAAUGGAUUGGGACUGGAAGCGGGCGGAGAAGAAGCUGAAAACUGAGAGUGAGAAGAUUGAGUUGGAGAAGCAAGAGGCAGUGCUCAAAUGGGGGCUCGAGAAGGUAAAGACAAUUGAAGAGAUUGAGCUUGAGAAGGAGUGGUUGCAAAUUUUGCACGGAAAGCGGAGGAUACGAAGAUCAUGUUGGCGAAUGAAACCUUCUUAG
rnacentral:rRNA from 1 species